rnacentral:snRNA from 1 species
GUGCUCUCUUUGGCAGCACAUAUACUAAAAUUGGAAUGAUGCAGAGAUCAGCGUGGCCCCUUCACAAAGAUGACAUGCAAAUUCAUGAAGUGUUUCAUAUUUUG